UACGUAGGUGGCAAGCGUUGCUCCGGAUUUACUGGGCGUAAAGAGCGCGCAGGCGGUUGGAUAAGUCGAAUGUGAAAGCCCCCCGGCUCAACUGGGGAGGGUCAUUCGAUACUGUCCGACUCGAAGGCAGGAGAGGGAAGCGGAAUUCCCGGUGUAGUGGUGAAAUGCGUAGAUAUCGGGAGGAACACCAGUGGCGAAGGCGGCUUUCUGGCCUGUUCUUGACGCUGAGGCGCGAAAGCCAGGGGAGCAAACGGG
rnacentral:rRNA from 1 species